AGUUUGAUCCUGGCUCAGAGUGAACGCUGGCGGCGUGCCUAAUACAUGCAAGUCGAACGAUGAAGCUUCUAGCUUGCUAGAGUGCUGAUUAGUGGCGCACGGGUGAGUAACGCAUAGGUCAUGUGCCUCUUAGUUUGGGAUAGCCAUUGGAAACGAUGAUUAAUACCAGAUACUCCCUACGGGGGAAAGAUUUAUCGCUAAGAGAUCAGCCUAUGUCCUAUCAGCUUGUUGGUAAGGUAAUGGCUUACCAAGGCUAUGACGGGUAUCCGGCCUGAGAGGGUGAACGGACACACUGGAACUGAGACACGGUCCAGACUCCUACGGGAGGCAGCAGUAGGGAAUAUUGCUCAAUGGGGGAAACCCUGAAGCAGCAACGCCGCGUGGAGGAUGAAGGUUUUAGGAUUGUAAACUCCUUUUGUUAGAGAAGAUAAUGACGGUAUCUAACGAAUAAGCACCGGCUAACUCCGUGCCAGCAGCCGCGGUAAUACGGAGGGUGCAAGCGUUACUCGGAAUCACUGGGCGUAAAGAGCGCGUAGGCGGGAUAGUCAGUCAGGUGUGAAAUCCUAUGGCUUAACCAUAGAACUGCAUUUGAAACUACUAUUCUAGAGUGUGGGAGAGGUAGGUGGAAUUCUUGGUGUAGGGGUAAAAUCCGUAGAGAUCAAGAGGAAUACUCAUUGCGAAGGCGACCUGCUGGAACAUUACUGACGCUGAUUGCGCGAAAGCGUGGGGAGCAAACAGGAUUAGAUACCCUGGUAGUCCACGCCCUAAACGAUGGAUGCUAGUUGUUGGAGGGCUUAGUCUCUCCAGUAAUGCAGCUAACGCAUUAAGCAUCCCGCCUGGGGAGUACGGUCGCAAGAUUAAAACUCAAAGGAAUAGACGGGGACCCGCACAAGCGGUGGAGCAUGUGGUUUAAUUCGAAGAUACACGAAGAACCUUACCUAGGCUUGACAUUGAGAGAAUCCGCUAGAAAUAGUGGAGUGUCUAGCUUGCUAGACCUUGAAAACAGGUGCUGCACGGCUGUCGUCAGCUCGUGUCGUGAGAUGUUGGGUUAAGUCCCGCAACGAGCGCAACCCCCUUUCUUAGUUGCUAACAGGUUAUGCUGAGAACUCUAAGGAUACUGCCUCCGUAAGGAGGAGGAAGGUGGGGACGACGUCAAGUCAUCAUGGCCCUUACGCCUAGGGCUACACACGUGCUACAAUGGGGUGCACAAAGAGAAGCAAUACUGCGAAGUGGAGCCAAUCUUCAAAACACCUCUCAGUUCGGAUUGUAGGCUGCAACUCGCCUGCAUGAAGCUGGAAUCGCUAGUAAUCGCAAAUCAGCCAUGUUGCGGUGAAUACGUUCCCGGGUCUUGUACUCACCGCCCGUCACACCAUGGGAGUUGUGUUUGCCUUAAGUCAGGAUGCUAAAUUGGCUACUGCCCACGGCACACACAGCGACUGGGGUGAAGUCGUAACAAGGUAACCGUAGGUGAACCUGCGGCUGGAUCACC
rnacentral:rRNA from 1 species